rnacentral:rRNA from 1 species
UACGGAGGGUGCGAGCGUUGUUCGGAAUCACUGGGCGUAAAGGGCGUGUAGGCGGUCCGCUAAGUCUGAUGUGAAAGCCCGGGGCUCACCCCCGGAAGUGCAUUGGAAACUGGCGAACUCGAGUCCCGGAGAGGAGAGUGGAAUUCCUGGUGUAGCGGUGAAAUGCGUAGAUAUCAGGAGGAACACCGGUGGCGAAGGCGGCAUCCUGGACCGGCAUUGACGCUGAGGAGCGAAAGCCAGGGGAGCAAACGGG